CAGGAUCAACACCUACUUCGAAAUGGGACCUCACACUCCCUUUGGAGGCUACAAGAUGUCCGGAAUAGGUCGUGAAAUGGGCGAAGAUGGCAUCACGGAAUAUACUGAAGUCAAAACGGUUGUUACAAGAAUUCCCGUGAAAAAUUCAUAAAAAAUCUUAUGCUGCUACGUCUGCACAGAGCUGCAACCGUAAGGAAUUUCUGCCCGACGAUUUUGCAGUCGAUACUAUAUUCACCGUAGUGUUCCGUACUUGCUGCUUAUCAAUAAAACACAGCUUGAGUGUUUGGGGUGCGGUGGCACACA
rnacentral:lncRNA from 1 species